rnacentral:rRNA from 1 species
UGGGGAAUAUUGGGGCAAUGGGGCGCAAGCCUGACCCAGCAACGCCGCGUGAGGGAAGAAGGUUUUCGGAUUGUAAACCUCUGUCGCAGAAGACGAAGGAAGUGACGGUAAUCUGUGAGGAAGCACCGGCUAAUUACGUGCCAGCAGCCGCGGUAACACGUAAGGUGCGAGCGUUGUUCGGAAUCAUUGGGCGUAAAGGGCAUGUAGGCGGUCUGUCAAGCCAGGCGUGAAAGCCAGGGGCUCAACCCCUGAACUGCGCUUGGAACUGGCGGACUGGAGUCGCUGAGGGGGAACCGGAAUUCCUGGUGUAGGGGUGAAAUCUGUAGAUAUCAGGAAGAACACCGAUGGCGAAGGCAGGUUUCCAGCAGACGACUGACGCUGAGGUGCGAAGGUGCGGGGAGCAAACAGGAUUAGAUACCCUGGUA